AUGCAUCCCAUAAAAAAGAUACUUCAAGCUCAUAAUUUUGCUCUUUUCCCAGGACCACCAACAUGCAGGGAGCCGCAGCCGUCAGUCAGCCAAACGGUCAGGGCACAAACAGCAGGUGCUCUCUGGCAUGUUGCGUCGCCAGGGUUUUGGAUGCUGUGUUUUGUGCUUGUGUGUCUCAUCAAGGGCAGCUGUAGGGGCAUGGGAGAAUGGAAAGCUGUGUUUCCAGUGGAAGUGUAUAUGUUGGAUGGAGGGAGGAGACGGUAAGCCAGGAUCUCAGGAAGCCAGCGGCAGAAGCAUGUCUUUGGAAAAGCCUCCUUGAUGGUUUGAAAAUGCUGCCCACAAAACCCACAAAUAGUAUACCAUGCACAUGGGAGUGACAGAUAUUAUAGUUUCUUUUACCCAUGCUGGUUCUCACUGUCCUUUCUAUAAAGUAAGUAAUUGAC
rnacentral:lncRNA from 1 species